rnacentral:rRNA from 1 species
AUGAACGCUGGCGGCGUGCCUAAUACAUGCAAGUCGAGCGAACGGACGAGAAGCUUGCUUCUCUGAUGUUAGCGGCGGACGGGUGAGUAACACGUGGAUAACCUACCUAUAAGACUGGGAUAACUUCGGGAAACCGGAGCUAAUACCGGAUAAUAUUUUGAACCGCAUGGUUCAAAAGUGAAAGACGGUCUUGCUGUCACUUAUAGAUGGAUCCGCGCUGCAUUAGCUAGUUGGUAAGGUAACGGCUUACCAAGGCAACGAUGCAUAGCCGACCUGAGAGGGUGAUCGCCCACCCUGGAACUGAGACACGGUCCAGACUCCUACGGGAGGCAGCAGUAGGGAAUCUUCCGCAAUGGGCGAAAGCCUGACGGAGCAACGCCGCGUGAGUGAUGAAGGUCUUCGGAUCGUAAAACUCUGUUAUUAGGGAAGAACAUAUGUGUAAGUAACUGUGCACAUCUUGACGGUACCUAAUCAGAAAGCCACGGCUAACUACGUG